rnacentral:pre_miRNA from 1 species
CAGAAAUAGGAGUUCCUAUCAGCCCAAAACAGUCUGUAGAUUGUUUUUUCUUAUCGUCUGUUUUGGACUGAAGGGAGCUCCUAAUUCUU